rnacentral:tRNA from 1 species
GCCUGGGUGGCUCAGCGGUUGAGCGUCUGCCUUUGGCUCAGGUCGUGAUCCUGGGGUCUUGGGAUCGAGUCCCAUAUCGGGCA